rnacentral:lncRNA from 1 species
UCGACGUCUUCCUAUAGCUAUAAAGUGAAAAAACUAUGAAUUACUAUCUUCUUCUAUUGGCCAAUUUUGUUUAGCGUGUUUUCGCCACAAGGUAUUCUCAUCUCUCAACACCUCAAGGAAGUCAACCCGUGCUCUAGUAAUCACCUCCUGGCUCGGAGGGGGAUUCCGAGUACGAAGAUCAUGUAAUUCAACUCUUUUCUCUAGUAUGUUCUGCCGAAAUUUGGGUUGCUCUGAUUUAGCCCACACUUGUAAUGCUGCAACACAUUUAUGUAGUCGAAACUCGACACUCUCAUCUGGAAAAUCUUUCCAUGUGUUAAUUACGCAUGGCGUCAUACCUUGCUUUUUUCUCCAUUGGUUCUCGAAUCAGAAUUGAU